UACGGGGGGGCAAGCGUUGUUCGGAAUUACUGGGCGUAAAGGGCUCGUAGGUGGCCAACUAAGUCAGACGUUAAAUCCCUCGGCUUAACCGGGGAACUGCGUCUGAUACUGGAUGGCUAGAGUUUGGGAGAGGGAUGCGGAAUUCCAGGUGUAGCGGUGAAAUGCGUAGAUAUCUGGAGGAACACCGGUGGCGAAGGCGGCAUCCUGGACCAACACUGACGCUGAGGAGCGAAAGCCAGGGGAGCAAACGGG
rnacentral:rRNA from 1 species